CCAAGGGAGCAGUGUUAUCCCGGAUGUAUAUACAUAUACAAGCAGAGCAGCAGAAGGAAGCAGCUAGCUAAUUAAGGUGGCAUGACACCGAUCGAGGAGAGUAAACUAGUUAUGGGUUUGAAUGCCAGCUAUUGCACAAGACAAGAGAAGAAAUGAAUGAACGAGUCUAGUCUAAACACCAAUAUCACUUCACUUACCAGUUUUGUGGUGAGGAAUGAGGACAUUCUUCAUUUAAGGCCUGGUCACACCCAAUAUCUCCAGUACUGACAGCUCUGCGCACAUCUCCACAAAGGCUAAAUCCUUUACGCUAGAACGACGAGAUCAGUUACGGAUCCCUUACAUAAAGGACCGAGAAAUAAACUAAACAGAUUAGAAGGAGAAGCUCAUGAAACCAUGUAAGAGAGAAAGAAAGAUGAAGAAAGAAAAGCGGAAAGAGAGAGAGAGGUGCACAAAUCACGGAAGAUAGGUAGUAUAUUGAAAGAGGCAGAGGCAGAGGAAGAGGAAGAGGAUGCGUCGCUGUCUUCAUGAGAGUCAGAGAAGGGAAAGCGAUUGAAUAUCUAUACAAAUCUUUCUUUUUUCUUUUUCUUUUCUUCCCCUUUCUUUUCUUUUCAUCGGAGAUUUUCAGGAGAUGCUGCAACCCUAUAUCCAGGGAAUGUGUUAUUAUUUCGGAUAAUAAAGUGCUUUCUAUCUCUCUCCUUCCAGAUAUACGCUGCAAGUAUAUUAAUUUAUAAUAUUAUUACAAGGUAGCAGCAGCAACAAAAAGCUGAUCUCUAAUCUCUC
rnacentral:lncRNA from 1 species